CAGUCGCCGCGGUAAUACGAAGGGUGCAAGCGUUAAUCGGAAUUACUGGGCGUAGAGCGUGCGUAGGCGGUUUGUUAAGACAGAUGUGAAAUCCCCGGGCUCAACCUGGGAACUGCAUUUGUGACUGGCAAGCUAGAGUGUGGCAGAGGGGGGUGGAAUUCCGCGUGUAGCAGUGAAAUGCGUAGAUAUGCGGAGGAACACCGAUGGCGAAGGCAGCCCCCUGGGCCAACACUGACGCUCAUGCACGAAAGCGUGGGGAGCAAACAGGAUUAGAUACCCCGGUAGUCCCUGUCUCUUAUAC
rnacentral:rRNA from 1 species